rnacentral:misc_RNA from 1 species
GAUGAAGAACGUAGUGAACGUGCGAAACGUAAUGUGAAUUGCAGAAUUCAGUGAAUCAUCGAAUCUUUGAACGCAUCUUGCGCUCCUUGGUAUUCCGAGGAGCAUGCCUGUUUGAGUGUCGUGAAUACUCUCAACUUCAACCCUUUUUUCGGAAAGGGAGGAAGGUUGGACUUGGGUGUUUGUUGAAGUGCGAGCUUCGACUCAUCCUAAAUGCAUUAGCGAUCUGCCUCGAUCACACACAAUGUGAUAAUUAAAACUAAAGCAUUGUUUAAUGAUCAAGUCGAGACUGCAUCUAACUGUCGCAAGACAAUAACGUGCAUACAUUUGUGCAUGUCAUUUGACCUCAAAUCAGGUAGGACUACCCGCUGAACUUAAGCAUAUCAAUAAGCGGAGGA